rnacentral:lncRNA from 1 species
AGAGCGCGUGUGGCGGCCGAGCACAUGGGCCCGCGGGCCGGGCGGGCUCGGGGCGGCCGGGACGAGGAGGGGCGACGACGAGCUGCGAGCAAAGAUGUGCCCCGGGACCCCCGGCACCUUCCAGUGGAUUUCCUUGCGGAAAGGAUGUUGGCGGUCCCUGUGACCUGUGGAGACACGGCCAGAUCUGCCCUCCAGAUUUAUUAGGAGAAAAACCUUCCCGGAAGCUGCAGAAGGACAAAUACAGAAUCCGUGUCUGGGAGAAACCUCGUGGCCUGGUCUCCAUUAUUUGAGAUGAGUUACAUCUUGGAGCUGACCAUACUCCCUGGAGCCUUCUCCCGAGGUGCGCGGGUGACCUUGGCACAUACAGCCAUCAUGAUGGUACUUUAAGUGGAGGCUGAAUCAUCUCCCCUU